AGAAUUCUUCAAGACGUCAUGCAGUUGAUCAACCGCGCGAUACCGACGCUGCAGAAAUGCCCGCCUCUAACAAUGAUGGUAACCAACCUUACAAUUUCAAUGUCUUACAGGAUCCUGCAACUAUCAGUGCGGUUAAAACUUUGUAUGAAAAGGUACAUACAUUCAAGGAAAAUGUUGAAUCGUCUCAGAAAAUAUGGCAGUUAUAUUUGUUUCAAACUGCACUUCAAGCUUCAUUCGCGAUCGCAUCCUUCGUUUUUGAUAUUUACUUCAUGAAGGAUUUAAAAGGAACAAUGACCUGUACACUUAAUCAACACAUCCCUGUGGCUCAUGAUUAUUUCAUUUGUUCACAUAACCUGGCGCCUACCUAUGAUUGGGGAUUGAAAGUGGUAUAUCUUCCAACGUUAGCAUUUGCUUUUGCCAUUUUUAUUUUUACCAUUGCAUGGACGUUUUACAGAAGAGGUAAAAACAAAUUUGAAUAUGACUUUAAAAAGAAACGUUUGCCUUCGCCGCGAGCAAAUGUGAUGACUGAUACUUUAACAGUGGAUAAAGACUUUGGUUUUCUUCUACACUUAUUGCACUCCUACAAUAAAUUAUACGUAGUCCGAUUCGCACACUUUUUGUCUGAAAAGAACAAAGAGACAUUCCAAAUUUUUCAAGCGAAAAGAAAUUAUGUUUUGAAAAAACGAAAUAAUGCUUUGAAAGAACUAAUACUGUCUCCAGUCAGGCGUCAGAUCGGCCAAGAUGAGGUCGACGGGGAACUAUAUCUGCCUGACACUGUCUGGCUUGAUCAGCACUUAACUUAACCUGAGUAUCAGUCAGGCUCUAUUUUACAAUUUCUCGUUUUCCCAAUUUCCACUCGUGUUGAUAUAACUGUAUAUCACAAUCUGCAGACAUGCAUGUUUCGGCGUUCAACGCCUCGUCAGUGCAGCUUGGUACAUGUCUAGAUACGUGAGACACUCGUAUUUAUACCCCAUGAACUUGCUCUCACCAAGGCAUGUGGUACAACACGGUGACACAAUGCAUCCAGACAUGCGCAGAGCGUAAUGGGGCCAGAGUGCUCAAACGACCAAGAGGAAAGUGAGCUUUGCAUUAUCGCUAAUAGACACCCAUUAACAACUCCGCAGAAUGCUCAACAACACCGAAGUGAAGGAGCGUAAUAGUACAAUCUGCAGACAUGCAUGUUUCGGCGUUCAACGCCUCGUCAGUGCAGCAUGGUACACGUCUAGAUACGUGAGACACUCGUAUUUAUACCCCAUGAACUUGCUCUCACCAAGGCAUGUGGUACAACACGGUG